AUAUAGAGAUUGAUCAUGAUUGAUUAGAGACUGAUAUAAUGACUGAUAUAGUGACUGAUAGAGUGGCUGAUAUAGAGACUGAUAUGGUGACUGAUAUAAUGACUGAUAGAUGGACUGA
rnacentral:lncRNA from 1 species